CGCGAGGGGAAUAUCUGCAUUUCUCCCCGAUCACUCACUGGAACUAGCAUUAUCGCCGGAACAAUGGGCUCAGCCUGGGCCUGCUUUGCCAACGCGGUUUCGCUGCAGCGCUCGCUCCCGGAUUUAUUUUUGUCCGGGCUUGGAGCGGGGUGCGGAGAUCAGGUGACGGUGCCCAAGGAGCUCUUGGCAUCGCCUGUCCUGUUGCUGUGUGUGCACAUGUCCACGGGAGUAAUGAGCAGGCAGGGAUGAUGGAGGCACGUGGGGUGGCUGCGCUCUCGUUACUGGGUCCUUAUCUCUUGGCUGAGCUCAGUCUGGUGACCAGCUCGUGGGAGAAGGGAUGCUCUCUCACCAGGUGGGGACCCCUCAUGCUCCCACUUGACCUGGCUUUUUGUAGCUUUGCAGUGCAGUCUGAGGAAUCAAAACUAGUGCUUUGGCACUGGGAUUAGGACCUGGAAACCAGUUUCUGAUUUGGUAAUGGCUUCACGUUGCGCCAGGGGAAGUUAAGGUAUGUCUUCCCAUGGGAUAAUAAUCUCUCCGAGCAAGAUCUUCCUGAGCGAAGCCGGGAGGAGCAGCCAGAUGCCAGCGUGGAUGUAUGAUCAGCUUCGUGGUGAGCGUUUGCGACCUGAACUUUGCAGCGUUGUGCUGAUUCACGACGGCUUGUCACCGAAACUGCCUGAAACUGACAGAAAAAGGGACGCUGACUCAUGUGUUUGCCUUCCCCAAGCGGGGAGAAAUGUGAAAGGUGAACAAAGUAUUUAACGGGUGAUAAUUACAUUCGGUGCUGAAAAAUUCAAUCCAUAUUAAUAAGCCGGUGUGUUAUUACUAAUAGAGGCCUUUUACAAUUUAAAAAAAAAAAUAAAUAGUAUUUAAGGUUUUUAACCUUGACA
rnacentral:lncRNA from 1 species